CACACCGAAAGUGUGUUCGAUGAAAUGCCUCCAACAUUCGGAGGUUUCUAUUUGUGAAAGUUUGCAGGCUAAGGUGUGUUCCUACUUCCUCCUGUAUACACAGUUUAUUCCUGCAUUUUUUGGGCUAUUCAACAUAUGCAAUUGUUCUGUAAAUAGAGGCACAUUGAGUAGUUCUAUUCAACAUAUGCAAUUUUUUCAGACAAAUGAUAGCUAUUCAAGGAGCAAGAGGCUGCUCAACAUAAAGCAUCAACAGCAACCUCUGGAACAGCUGAAAAUGCUCUACUGGAAGCUAAGUCAGUGACUGAUCUUAAAUCUAAAGAUUUGGAGAAGAA
rnacentral:misc_RNA from 1 species